AACGAACGCUGGCGGCAGGCUUAACACAUGCAAGUCGAACGCACCUUUCGGGGUGAGUGGCAGACGGGUGAGUAACGCGUGGGAAUCUACCCUUCUCUACGGGAUAGCUCCGGGGAACUGGAAUUAAUACCGUAUACGUCCUGAGGGAGAAAGAUUUAUCGGGGAAGGAUGAGCCCGCGAUGGAUUGGCUAGUUGGUGGGGUAAAGGCCUACCAAGGCGACGAUGCAUAGCUGGUCUAAGAGGAUGAUCAGCCACAUUGGGACUGAGACACGGCCCACACUCCGACGGGAGGCAGCAGUGGGGAAUAUUGGACACUGGGCGCAAGCCUGAUACCGCCACGCCGCGUGAGUGAUGAAGGCCCUAGGGUUGUAAAGCUCUUUCAGUGGGGACGUUAAUGACGGUACCCACAGAAGAAGCCCCGGCUAACUUCGUG
rnacentral:rRNA from 1 species